rnacentral:rRNA from 1 species
CCUACGGGAGGCAGCAGUGAGGAAUAUUGGUCAAUGGGCUUACGCCUGAACCAGCCAAGUCGCGUGAGGGAAGACUGCCCUAUGGGUUGUAAACCUCUUUUGUCAGGGAGCAAUUGGCGCUACGUGUAGCGUUAUCGAGAGUACCUGAAGAAAAAGCAUCGGCUAACUCCGUGCCAGCAGCCGCGGUAAUACGGAGGAUGCGAGCGUUAUCCGGAUUUAUUGGGUUUAAAGGGUGCGUAGGCGGAAUGCCAAGUCAGCGGUAAAAUCGCGGGGCUCAACCUCGCUCCGCCGUUGAAACUGGCGUGCUUGAGUGGGCGAGAAGUAUGCGGAAUGCGGGGUGUAGCGGUGAAAUGCAUAGAUAUCACGCAGAACUCCGAUUGCGAAGGCAGCAUACCGGCGCCCAACUGACGCUGAAGCACGAAAGCGUGGGUAUCGAACAGGAUUAGAUACCCUUGUAGUC